CUUGUGUUGAAGCCUCCGGCAGUAUACUUUUGAACAUGUCAAUGAGAGUGGCCUGUAAUUGGUCGCUGGUUACAGUUUCCGGUAGGCCCCUCACUCUGAUGUUAUUUGUUCUGGACCUGUUGUUGAUGCCUUGAUGUCGAGGCAUCCUGCAAUACUUCUUCUGACUGCUGGGCCGCCUAGUGAUCGAUCCCCAGGAGCGAUCACUUCUGGGUUGCCCUACGUGGUGCCCGGCCAUAUGCUGGUUAUAGGCCUUUGCAUACUGGCUUCCUUGUGCUCUCAGC